rnacentral:tRNA from 1 species
UCCGCGGUAGCUCAAUGGUAGAGUGGUCGACUGUUAAUCGACUGGUUGUAGGUUCGAAUCCUACCCGCGGAGCCA